AGAUGGCGACCGGCGCACGGGUGAGUAACACGUAUCCAACCUGCCGAUAACUCGGGGAUAGCCUUUCGAAAGAAAGAUUAAUACCCGAUGGUAUAAUCAGACCGCAUGGUCUUGUUAUUAAAGAAUUUCGGUUAUCGAUGGGGAUGCGUUCCAUUAGGCAGUUGGUGAGGUAACGGCUCACCAAACCUUCGAUGGAUAGGGGUUCUGAGAGGAAGGUCCCCCACAUUGGAAUUGAGACACGGUCCAA
rnacentral:rRNA from 1 species